rnacentral:rRNA from 1 species
UACGUAGGGGGCUAGCGUUGUCCGGAAUCAUUGGGCGUAAAGCGCGCGUAGGCGGCCCGGUAAGUCCGUUGUAAAAGUCAAAGGCUCAACCUUUGAAAGCCGAUGGAUACUGCCGGGCUAGAGUCCGGAAGAGGCGAGUGGAAUUCCUGGUGUAGCGGUGAAAUGCGUAGAUAUCAGGAAGAACACCGGUGGCGAAAGCGCUCUGCUAGGCCGCAACUGACACUGAGGGACGAAAGCUAGGGGAGCGAAUGGG